GUGGUUUAAUUCGAAGCAACGCGCAGAACCUUACCAACCCUUGACAUCCCUAUCGCGAUUACCAGAGAUGGUUUUCAUCAGUUCGGCUGGAUAGGUGACAGGUGCUGCAUGGCUGUCGUCAGCUCGUGUCGUGAGAUGUCGGGUUAAGUCCCUUAACGAGCGCAACCCUUAUCGCUAGUUGCCAGCGCGUCAUGGCGGGGACUCUAGCGAGACUGCCGGUGUCAAACCGGAGGAAGGUGGGGAUGACGUCAAGUCCUCAUGGCCUUUAUGACUAGGGCUGCACACGUCCUACAAUGCAACAUACAAAGGGAAGCAAAAUCGCGAGAUCUAGCAAAUCCCAAAAAGUGUUGCUCAGUUCGGAUUGCAGGCUGCAACUCGCCUGCAUGAAGCCGGAAUCGCUAGUAAUCGCGGGUCAGCA
rnacentral:rRNA from 1 species